GCCGCGCCGGUGCUUCCCAGUGCCCGCAGUCCGCCUCGCCUCGCUGGCCGCGUUCCCACGAAAUGCGGGGUUCGCUGGACCGAGUGGUUGCCCCGCAUCUCGGGCCUGCCCGGCCCUCAGGGGCAAGAGUCGUCCGAGCGGACGCUACUGAGUUAAGCUGACCCGAUCUGCCAUCUUGAGCCAGUCUGAAGUACUACUCCUCUUCAAGAAAACGUUACGAGAAAGCCUCUCGGAAUGAGCUCUGACAGCCAAACCUUGGCAGAAGCCAAACUGGAUCCUACGCAGGCUCAGGAGGAGCCCGUGCAGGAAAAUGCCAGUGGCAGCCCAGGGCAGCUGCCACCCCCGCCUCCUGAGGAAGCCAGUGGCCCCAAGAGCGACUGCCAGGCCUGGCUCCUGGCCCCGCUAGAGGAUGCAAGAUACCUCAUCUGCUGCACCAACUGGUACUAGCAGCUCUUUCUGGGCUCACUAGCCAGCGCAGCUCACUGGACUGCCUCAGAAAGGCGUCAGCAUCCAUCUGGAGGCUCAAGAGACACAUCUCUGAACAGACCCGAGACGUGCAGCUGUUAUUAAAACAUUGGGCGUGUAACAGUUUGGCUUUACCUGCCACAGGCUAUGUUUGCACUAUCUGCUUGUUCAUGGUUAACUUAAUCGUAAUUUCCCGUAUCAGUUCCCAGCCCAUUCUCACAAUUGAUGGUAUUGGUGUUCAACCUGUUUUUUUGAGAUGUAAGGGGCUGUGAUUGUCCAGCACUUCCUGAAAUCACCAGGUGGAGAAUCCCUCUGCUGCUUUAACUCUAUGUUCACAUGGUGCACUUAAGCAUGGUUAACUUAACUGAGUAACAGAAAACCCAGCUUCCUGGGUUUACACAUCACACUAUAUGGACUAGGCUGGGUUUGCACAACACACUAAAUAAAAAUGUAGUCAAAUUGUGACUUAGUGUGUCUUGUGAACAUAGCCAUAGAUAGGCUGAGAAGUGUAAGAAUGUGACAGAGCAAAUAUAUAACACACAUCUGCUCCAACACUGGAAUGACAGACCUAUCUGAAGACUUUGUCCUGGAAAAGGACUGAUAGGGAAUAAAAGCAAGAGGGUUCUCA